UACGUAGGUGGCAAGCGUUAUCCGGAAUUAUUGGGCGUAAAGCGCGCGCAGGUGGUUUUCUUAAGUCUGAUGUGAAAGCCCACGGCUCAACCGUGGAGGGUCAUUGGAAACUGGGAGACUUGAGUGCAGAAGAGGAAAGUGGAAUUCCGUGGUGUAAGCGGUGAAAUGCGUAGAUAUCAGGAGGAACACCGGUGGUGUGAAACGGCUUUCUGGACCAUAACUGACACUGAGGCACGAAAGCGUGGGUAGCAAACAGGA
rnacentral:rRNA from 1 species